GAAAAUUUAAUUAAAAAAAAAUAAUAUAAAGUUGUCAACUUUAAAUUACCAGACUGUAAUUUUCU